rnacentral:lncRNA from 1 species
GGGUUGUAGAGUCCCAGCUUGUCAACCUUUGAGAUCUCUGCGUAUAUCAAGAUUGUGUUAUUACAGAGCAUUAAGAGGUGUGGUUUCUUGUACCUGUGAUUGGUGAGGCUCCAGAGAUUGUGGACAGGCUAUCGCCAACUUUGAGAUCAGCAGCUCGCUUGUAAAUUAUCUCUCCUUUGGUGUUAACUGGGACAAAGUGACCGGCUGUAAGCUCCAAGGUGUUGGCUUCGGUCUUGACUUGCACGAAUUCAGAGACAACAUCUAGAUCCUUGUGACCAAACGCGUAGAUAUCCGAAAAUGAAUUCUUCCCAACAGCAACCUGUAGAAACUCAUUAAUCAUGUGAAGCAAAGUGGAUUACUAGCUAGGAUCUUGCCUUAUCUCCAAUCUUAAGUUCCUUCAUGGUCUUCAUUUCUCCACUGUACAUAUGAACCAUUGCAUCACCUAGAUAGAUAUUGCAUGGUUACAUAGCACAGUGUAAUUUGUAGAGAAUAACUUUAUUACCUGGAAAGCAUCCAGGGUUUUGACAUAUUCCAUUGUUACAUGUGAAUCCAGUUAGCCCCGCUGUUGUGCAAUCAGCAGUAGUAGUGCAACUCACUAUAUUAGUAGCAAAUACAGUGGAAAACAAUCCAAGAAGAGAGACCACAGCAAACACAGCAGCUAGAGAAGCCAUUGCCUUUCAAAUAUACUUAAGAAGACACUAAGCAUAUGAAGCAUCAUUGGCCAUGCACUGCUUAAAUAGGAUGAACUUAAACGUAAUUACAUGUGAUAUGAUUUUCUGGGGAAGAAUAUGGGUGAGUGAGCGAAACAUCUUAGCUAUAUCAAUUGUCAAACAUCUAGUACAUAUAUUGUCUACCUAGUUCUAUAUUUUUAAGCAGGUGAUGCUUUGGUACACCUGUAUAAUGCGAUGGACUUUAAAAUUGGAUAAUUCCAGUCUUCAACUAUAGUAAUUGCACUAUUAUGAACUAAUAAAACCUUGUAAUAAAUUUUUUAAUAAAGUUCUUUAAAUGUUAGAAAUAUAUGUAAAGCUUUUUGCAAUUGCCAUAAAUUACUUAGAAUAAUGAGUUUUGAUAUCAUCAAUUGAGAAUUUAUUUACAUUUAGAAGGAUUAUAUUAUUAUUAUAGUACACACAAACAUUUACAUGUGUUUACUUGCUCUUGAAUAUGAACUAUUUCAUUUCAUUUUUCUUUUUUGCCUUUUCAUUUUCUUUUCUUUCAUUUUCAUGGCUGGACAAACUCCUUAUUUGAUUCUAAAGUAACAAUUGGUGCAAUUUGUGUAAUUGCUUGAUGCUAUAUAGUUGCAAUUGAUCAAUCAAACUUAGUUGGUAAUGACAUUCAUGUCCAAAUUAAAAUAAUCAUAUGACUAACUACACAAAUAUUAAUAUAUGGCAUUGUAACUGUACACCUCGAACUCACACGUAUAACUAAAAAAAUUAAUAAAAAAAACUCCACACAUGUGUAAAUAUAUAAUGUAUGCAUACAUAAUCACAUAUUCAUUGUUUUGUGUUGUAAACUUUAGUUUCCUCAAGGAAAAAAUCCUUACUUUAUACUUUUGACAUCUAUCUUUUUAUGAUGUUUUAAUAAAAUAUCUUAAGUUCAAUAUAGUUGGUUAGAAAAACCAAGAUUAAAAUGCUAUGACGAUAAACAUGACAACAGUAAUUCUUCAUAAAAAAAUUUGGCGGCUCUAAAUGGAGCGAGCUGCAAAGGCUAGAGCUCCAAGACCAAUGGUGACCGCAAUGGUGGCUCCAUACUUGGUGCCAGAGUCUGCCACAUUCACGCAAGAAUCGAGCAUGGAGUAGCCAGCCGAGUAGAGCUUGCUUCCAGCGAUGUUGUAAAGAGCACGAACUGGAGCGAGCAGUGACUGGUAUGCAUAUGGGAGGUAUUCGCUUGCACCAAGGGCAUCGAACAGAGAAUCUAAGAACCAUUCGCUGUGAACAGAGGCCACUACGUUAUUGACAAGAAUGUCGCCCGACAGUGUCAAGGGGUUGUAGAGUCCCAGCUUGUCAACCUUUGAGAUCUCUGCGUAUAUCAAGAUUGUGUUAUUACAGAGCAUUAAGAGGUGUGGUUUCUUGUACCUGUGAUUGGUGAGGCUCCAGAGAUUGUGGACAGGCUAUCGCCAACUUUGAGAUCAGCAGCUCGCUUGUAAAUUAUCUCUCCUUUGGUGUUAACUGGGACAAAGUGACCGGCUGUAAGCUCCAAGGUGUUGGCUUCGGCCUUGACUUGCACGAAUUCAGAGACAACGUCUAGAUCCUUGUGACCAAAUGCGUAGAUAUCCGAAAAUGAAUUCUUCCCAACAGCAACCUGUGGAAGCUCAUUAAUCAUGUGAAGCAAAGUGGAUUACUAGCUAGGAUCUUGCCUUAUCUCCAAUCUUAAGUUCCUUCAUGGUCUUCAUUUCUCCACUGUACAUAUGAACCAUUGCAUCACCUAGAUAGAUAUUGCAUGGUUACAUAGCACAGUGUAAUUUCUAGAGAAUAACUUUAUUACCUGGAAAGCAUCCAGUGUUGUUUUGACAUAUUCCAUUGUUACAUGUGAAUCCAGUUAGCCCCGCUGCUGUGCAAUCAGCAGCAGUAUUGCACCUCACUAUAUUGGUAGCAAACACAGUGGAAAACAAUCCAAGAAAAGAGAUCACAGCAAACACAGCAGCUAGAGAAGCCAUUGUCUUUCAAAUAUACUUAAGCAGACACUAAGCUUAUGAAGAAUCAUUGGCCAUGCACUGCUUAAAUAGGAUGAACUUAAACGUAAUUACAUGUGAUAUGAUUUUCUGGGGAAGAAUAUGGGUGAGUGAGCGAAACAUCCUUUAGCUAUAUCAAUUGUCAAACAUCUAGUACAUAUAUUGUCUACCUAGUUCUAGACACUCAGCCGGCACAACAAAAUAACUAGUGAAAAAAUCCCACUUGGAAAGUGGCAUUUUAAUCUGCGAAAUGCCCCUUCUGUUCAUUGGCAGAGCUUCUGGAACCUGACUGAUUCGACCAAUUUGCUGCUGCUGCAGCUAGGGCUAGAGUCAAGGUUUCUAAGAGUAUUUUUUAUUUUUAUUUUGUAAGGGGAAGGGGGGGAGCGGGGGUGUGGGUGAGUGGGCUGGUAAAAAAUUGUAAAAGAUUAACAUAAAUGUGCAUAUAUAUGCUCAAAUUAUUGUAAUAUAUAUGUGUCACUUACAAAACUAUAUCUUCAGUUAUCCAUAUUACAUUUACAUUCUUCUUUAAUCACUUUUAACAUUUAAAAUGAAGUUAAAAUAUUAACAUAAAAAAUGAUAUGGAAAAUCAAGUUGUAAGGAAAAUUCUUUAUCAAUUGACAUAAUAAUGACACACAUUUUCCAUCUAACAAUUUAGUAAGUGCAAUUUAAAUGCCUGAAAAUAUUGUUUCAUGAUCAAAUUUUGGGUAUUCAUUGGUAUUUGCGGAUAUCAUUGUCAAAUGUUAUAUAUAUGGGUAUGAUAUUGGACUCUUAGGCAUAUUGUUGAGUCAUAAAAAUUUAAGUUGAAAUGAAUAUAUAUGAAAUUGUAAAUAAGAGGAAGUUGGUUGAGUAUUAAAAAUUUACAUUCUUGGAUUAAAAGUUAUUCUUUUUGUAGUAAAGAAAAUUUUCCACAAAUUUUCUUAAUGGUUGAUUUGUUGAUUAUUUUGCCCAAAAACCAUUUCAUUUUUGAAAGCCAUUUAGUGAAAGGGUUAAAGUUGACUAAAAUUAAAGUAAAAAAGUGGUUGUUGUUUUUUUCCCUUAGGCUUUUCUUAUGUAACAUUAUAUUUGUUGGUAGAUUACAUCUUAUAUUUAGUUAAAUUUAAUGAGAGUAGUUAACUCUAAUUAAACUUGACUUAGUUUAAGAUAGUGAUAUUUAGCUUAGUUGUUUGCAGUUAAAGUAAUAACAGUUUUAGGUAUAUAAAUCCAUCUCAUAGUCUUCCCUUUAGUUUCAACUAAAUGUUAAUCAUUUGUGGCUAACCUCUUCAUUUGUACUUAGAGUUAUUUGUUAAAGAUGUUAGUAGGGUUAUUGUUGUAUGAUUGGAUUUAAGUAGUCAUUUUGUCUGUAAUUAUUUAUGUUUCUAUAUGUUGUAUUUAGAGUGUUACUUUUAUGUUGGACAAAUAUAUAACUCAAUGAUGUAAAUUUAGUGUUUGAGCCUUAUGACAACAAAUUUAAGAGUGAUUGUUAGUUAUUUUGUAACUAAUGAUUAUUUAUAAAUUUCAUUAUUUUAGAGCUUUGAUUGUGUAUAUCAAUUACCCUAGCUUAUAUACAGGAGCGAGUGGUCCGGAUUGAAACCAAUCCGACGGCUACCAAAAUCCCACUAUACUAAUAUUAGUAUAUGGCAUCAUAGCCAUACACUUGGCCUUCACAUCAUUCCCUCCUUUCAGAAUAAUGGAACACCAUCAAGGUUCUUUUGUAGAUGGGCCGGGAUCUGGAAGAACGUUAGGAGGAGGCAUUGGCAGAUCUGUAAGUGGUAUUAAUUGCUUCUGAUCCCUUUGUAUGAAGCAUUUUAACCACUACACAUGCGCAAUAUCUAGAAGAUCAUUCUGCUAAACAUUAUUGCAAACUUCAUAAACUUGUGGUCCAACUUGCCACAACACCCAAUACGGUCCUUUCCAUUGAGCAAUAAACCCCUUAGAUAAACCACGUACCUUAAAAUGGGGAAAAUGGACUAACACUAAGUCAUCCACUUUGUACUCCGCAAGUGAACGAUGAUGGGAGUUGUAGCGCCAUUGUUGUCACAUUUAUACAUGACUUAAGUGUUCGAAAGAAUCCACUAUGAACGAGAAUGCUAGAACACUGUUCGAUUGAGGAGGAAGUAUCUAACAAAAGUUGCAGAGGCACUAACAAGAGCACCAACUUUCACUCAACAAGUCAAGUAAUCAAGUAAUCAGAAGCAAUAAUAACAUACUCAUUACCAGCAGUCGACUAUGGAAAAAGUUCUAUAAGAUCAAAUGCCACCAACUCAAACGAAUGGGAAAUUGCAAUUGACUCUAAUCGUCCUUCCAUAGCACGAGGGGGAGUAUUACGAACUUGGCACCAAACACAGCUACGCACAUACUAGAUAAUAUCACGUCGCAUCUCCGGCCAAUAGAAAGAUCUGCGUAGCUUCUUAGUUACACUACAAUGCCCUAUAUACCUACCUAGAAGAGGAGAAUCAUGAUAGCCAUGGAGAAACCAUGGAAUAAAGAUAGAAGGCACCAUCAGCCGUAAAUGAUCAUCAAAAUAAAGAAGGCUGUCUUCAAGGUAUCAGCAAGUGAUGCAAGAUUCUCAAACCCAUCUUGAAGCCUUUGAAUCCACGACUCAAUCUUUUGACCUUUGCGAACCUCAUCAAAAGAGGGUAGAUUUUGCUAUGCGCCUUGUGGACACUGAACAUCAAGUGUAGCAACCGCCGACGGCACAGAAUCCUCGUCUAAAAAAUCCACAGAUGCUAGAACAACAAGCUCGUUAAAAACAUGAGAAGAGAGUGCAGAAGGAAGAGGAGCUAUAGAAAUGCCAUCAGCAUUAGCUAUAAAACUCCCUAGGUGAUGAAAAACAUCAAAAUUAUAUAUCUAAAGCUUCAAAGCCCACCGAACAGUACGACCAACCAAGUUUUUUCGUUUCAAUAAUGAAGUAAUAUUAACAUAAUCAUCUUCAACUAACGUCCGAAAACCAUGUAAAUAUGCAUGAAGUUUCUCAAAACCCUAGACUGCUGCUAAACACUCCUUCUGUAAUUCACCUCCACUGAUUGCAAUGUACGGUUUAUAUAUGCAAUGAGAUGGCACUGAUCAAGCACACUCGGGCUCAUCGCAAAGAACUUCGUCCAUCAUCCGCUAGAAAGUUGCUAGAGCAUUGUUUAAACUAAACGGCAUCACCAAAAACUCAUACAAACUAAAUAGUGUAUGAAAAGUAGUUUUAAAAAUAUCUUUUUCGGCCAUUGGUACUUGCCAAUACCUAGAAGCAAGAUCUAGUUUGGUGAACUAAUGACUUCGCCCCAGACGAUCUAAAAGAUCAACAAUAUGAGGAAGAGGGUACACAUCUUGGCUCAUCACUUUGUUUAAUGAAUGAUAGUCAAUGUAGAAAUGAAUACUCCCAUCAGGCUUCGUCAUAAGAUGAGGUUCACAUGCCCAAGGACUUUGCAACUUCCUAAUAACACCCUUCUUCAACAUCUUCUUGACAUUUGCACAUAAAAUCUUAAUCUCUUUGGGUGACCAACGACGAAUAAAAACCUUGAUUGGACGAGCAUCCCCGGUUGAAAUCGGAUGAUGUGUAGCAAUCUUGGCCCCAGGCGAUAGAUCAAAUUCAAAGAGAUCAAAAUACUCCUUCAUGAGCCGGUCAACCACUGCAACACAAAGAUUAUCGAAGGGAUCAGAGUGUGGGAGCAUGGGGGAUGCUCGAUGAAUUUUCGACACGAUGCCGAGAGACGAUGUCGCAGCAUGGAACUCGAUGGUCCUGGGCUAUGCCGAGAACAAGCAAGCAGCACUAGGCUUGGAGCUCUUUCAAGAGAUUCCUCCUUGAGUUUUGGACGCUCACAGCUUGGCUGCUGCUCUCAAGGCUUGUGGAAGCCUGGCCUCUCUGGGACAGGGCAAAGCCACUCAUGCUCUAGCUUGCCGCAUGGGGAUGGAAGAAUCUCUCACCGUUGGGACUAGUUUGGUCGACUUCUAUUGCAAGUGUGGAAACAUGGUGGACACUCGACUGGUUUUUGAUAAGAUCUUUGCCAAGGAGCUAGCGGCCUGGACAGCUCUCGUGGAAGGCUAUGGCCGUCAAGGAAGCUCCAAGCUUGUGAUGGAGUUUCUUUGUGGAAUGGAAGAGGAGGGGUUUCGACCAGACGCUAAAACUCUGGCUAGCGUUAUCACUGCUUGUAGCCACGGUGGCGAGCUAGAGGCCGCCAGGAAACUCUUUGCAGAAGUGAUUCCUUCGCAGGAUUAUUUCGUGCGCAUGGUGGAUCUUCUAGGUAGAGCCAAUGAGCUAAAUGCCGCAGUAGACAUGGUUAGCUCGGUGGAAAGUGUUAGCAACGCUAAGUUGGUGGUGUUGUGGAGAAUUAUCCUAGAUGCUUGUAGAAGGUGGAAGAAUCUUGAGGUGGGAAAGGUGGCAUUCAAGCGUUUGAUGGAUUUGGAUGAGUUUGAUUCAGCGGCUUAUGUACUAUUCGCAUCCAGCUAUGAUUAAGUGCAAAUAAUUCACUUGAUUAUUCUUUCUUUGUAAGAAUGCGGCUGCUCUAAAUGGAGCGAGCGGCAAAGGCUAGAGCUCCAAUACCAAUGGUGAUAGCAAUGGGGCCUCCAUACUUGGUGCCAAAGUCUGCCACAUUCACGCAAGAAUCGAGCAUGGAGUAGCCAGCCGAGUAGAGCGUGCUUCCGGCGAUGUUGUAAAGAGCACGAACUGGGGCGAGCAGUGACUGGUAUGCAUAUGGGAGGUAUCCGCUUGCAUCAAGGGCAUCGAACAGAGAAUCUAAGAACCAUUCGCUGUGAACAGAGGCCACCACGUUAUUGACAAGAAUGUUGCCCGACAGUGUCAAGGGGUUGUAGAGUCCCAGCUUGUCAACCUUUGAGAUCUCUGCGUAUAUCAAGAUUGUGUUAUUACAGAGCAUUAAGAGGUGUGGUUUCUUGUACCUGUGAUUGGUGAGGCUCCAGAGAUUGUGGACAGGCUAUCGCCAACUUUGAGAUCAGCAGCUCGCUUGUAAAUUAUCUCUCCUUUGGUGUUAACUGGGACAAAGUGACCGGCUGUAAGCUCCAAGGUGUUGGCUUCGGUCUUGACUUGCACGAAUUCAGAGACAACAUCUAGAUCCUUGUGACCAAACGCGUAGAUAUCCGAAAAUGAAUUCUUCCCAACAGCAACCUGUAGAAACUCAUUAAUCAUGUGAAGCAAAGUGGAUUACUAGCUAGGAUCUUGCCUUAUCUCCAAUCUUAAGUUCCUUCAUGGUCUUCAUUUCUCCACUGUACAUAUGAACCAUUGCAUCACCUAGAUAGAUAUUGCAUGGUUACAUAGCACAGUGUAAUUUGUAGAGAAUAACUUUAUUACCUGGAAAGCAUCCAGGGUUUUGACAUAUUCCAUUGUUACAUGUGAAUCCAGUUAGCCCCGCUGUUGUGCAAUCAGCAGUAGUAGUGCAACUCACUAUAUUAGUAGCAAAUACAGUGGAAAACAAUCCAAGAAGAGAGACCACAGCAAACACAGCAGCUAGAGAAGCCAUUGCCUUUCAAAUAUACUUAAGAAGACACUAAGCAUAUGAAGCAUCAUUGGCCAUGCACUGCUUAAAUA